UGUAUACAUCCCCGACUGGAAG
rnacentral:miRNA from 1 species